rnacentral:rRNA from 1 species
GACAGAGGUGCCAAGCGUUAGGCGGAAUCACUGGGCUUAAAGCGUGUGUAGGCGGACUUCUAAGUGCCUUGUGAAAUCCCACGGCUCAACCGUGGAACUGCUGGGCAUACUGGGAGUCUUGAGCAACCUAGGGGCGAGCGGAACAAAUGGUGGAGCGGUGAAAUGCGUAGAUAUCAUUUGGAACGCCAAUGGUGAAAACAGGUAGCUGGGGCUGUGCUGACACUGAGACACGAAAGCCAGGGGAGCAAACGGG